CUCAUCGAAGGAUACUAAGGAAACAAGAGGAAAGGAUAGGAGGGUGGCUCUGUGUAGUUUGUCCAUCAGAGCACGAGGCUGCGUCGGGGUGAGCGUACCGGGGAGACUUUGCUAAAAGCUUCUGACUCCACAGAAACCUGCUACCUGGGAUUGUUCUUCUUAUUCCCCUGCUAGCAUUGCUGACUACGCAGGCUGGGCACCUCCUCUUCAGCUGGGUCGGAGUGCUCUCUGAAGCGUUUUAAAGAGCAGUUCAGUGGACACGAGAUUGCUCUCAGAGGUGCUGCCAAUCCACCAGCAGAAACACAGCUCGCCUCUCUCUGCUCCCUUCUCCCAAGUAUCUACACCAUGCUAAGUCCGGUCCCAGGAGCAAGGAGAAUCAAAGUCCUAGGGCUUGAACCCAGGGACUCAUGAAUGCUAGCACAUCGACAAAUGGAAACACUGAGAUCCUACAAGUAGUUUUCAGGACAGAAUGGCUGCGGGACCGGGCAGAACAGAAAUCUCUGUCAACAUGCUGGGAUAUCAAAUGAGGACACCAUGACCAGAUCAUUUAUUGAAGAUGAAAAUUUUAUUGAGUUUCACAAGAUUCUUAACCUUAUGUAAGGUUGGAAUGAAUAUUGACAGAAUAAACAUAGACUUGGAGGAAGAUAGAACGUGUAUGGAACUAUGCUGUAAUAACAACUAUCAAAACCACCAAGAAAGAGAUAAUUUAUUCUGUUCUUGGUAUUUGCUGUGGCGUGAGGCAGGAUCUGAUUCAAGCCAUACACAAAGGAAAAAUUACUUUUCGAAAUUAUUAAAUCUUCUGUGAAGGUUAUAACAGAGGACUUAGGCUCAGUUUAGCCAUUUAUUAAGAUAUAGGCUACAAAGCCCGGUGGAAGAAAAUAAACAAACAACGAGCAGUUUACUCGGAUUUAUGCACAGUCGGACUAAUCAAUCAAUCUGUAAACACUAUGCAAAUGUGUGUAAACGCGAACGGAGCCCGGACUUUACGUAUGCAUUGUUAUGUAAACGAUCAAUCUUGUUAAAGUAAAUAUUAAUAUAAAACUGAC